rnacentral:rRNA from 1 species
UAGGGAAUCUUCGGCAAUGGGGGGAACCCUGACCGAGCAACGCCGCGCGAGUGAAGAAGGUUUUCGGAUCGUAAAGCUCUGUUGUUAAGGAAGAACGAGUGUGAGAAUGGAAAGUUCAUGCUGUGACGGUACUUAACCAGAAAGGGACGGCUAACUACGUGCCAGCAGCCGCGGUAAUACGUAGGUCCCGAGCGUUGUCCGGAUUUAUUGGGCGUAAAGCGAGCGCAGGCGGUUAGAAAAGUCUGAAGUGAAAGGCAGUGGCUCAACCAUUGUAGGCUUUGGAAACUGUUUAACGUGAGUGCAGAAGGGGAGAAUGGAAUUCCAUGUGUAGCGGUGAAGUGCGGAGAUAUAUGGAGGAACACCGGUGGCGAAAGCGGCUCUCUGGUCUGUAACUGACGCUGAGGCUCGAAAGCGUGGGGAGCGAACAGG